GGAGUUAGCCGGUGCUUCUUCUGUGAGUGAUGUCCUUCCUGCCGGCUAUUAACCCGCAGGCCUUCUUCCUCACUGAAAGUGCUUUACAACCCGAAGGCCUUCUUCACACACGCGGCAUGGCUGGAUCAGGGUUGCCCCCAUUGUCCAAUAUUCCCCACUGCUGCCUCCCGUAGGAGUCUGGGCCGUGUCUCAGUCCCAGUGUGGCUGAUCAUCCUCUCAGACCAGCUACGGAUCGUCGCCUUGGUGAGCCGUUACCUCACCAACCAGCUAAUCCGACAUAGGCUCAUCCGAUAGCGCGAGGCCCGAAGGUCCCCCGCUUUCCCCCGUAGGGCGUAUGCGGUAUUAGCCUGGGUUUCCCCCAGGUUAUCCCCCACUACCGGGCAGAUUCCUAUGAAUUACUCACCCGUCCGCCGCUCGCCACCAGGGAGCAAGCUCCCCGUGCUGCCGCUCGACUUGCAUGUGUUAGGCCUGCCGCCAGCGUUCAAUCUGAGCCAUGAUCAAACUCUGA
rnacentral:rRNA from 1 species